rnacentral:rRNA from 1 species
UGGGGAAUAUUGGGCAAUGGAGGAAACUCUGACCCAGCAACGCCGCGUGAAGGAUGAAGGCCUUCGGGUUGUAAACUUCUGUUCUAAGGGAAGAAAAAAAUGACGGUACCUUAGAAGAAAGCCCCGGCAAACUACGUGCCAGCAGCCGCGGUGAUACGUAGGGGGCAAGCGUUGUCCGGAAUGACUGGGCGUAAAGCGAGUGUAGGCGGUUUUUUAAGUUAAAUGUGAAAGCCCGAGGCUUAACCUCGGAACUGCAUUUAAUACUGGAGAACUAGAGUGUGGGAGAGGUAAGUGGAAUUCCUAGUGUAGCGGUGGAAUGCGUAGAUAUUAGGAGGAACAUCAGUGGCGAAGGCGACUUACUGGAACAUAACUGACGCUGAGGCUCGAAAGCGUGGGUAGCAAACAGG